CUAUUUCUAUGUUAUUUCUCUCAGCUUUUCUGGUAUUUCCAUCACCAUGGUAUAGAGGCUUUCCAUUUUCUAAUCAGAUAUUAGGAAGAAUUUCCCAACUGGGCAGUCAGUAACAUACUGGAGACUACAAAGUGAAAUGCUGCUGAAUCUCUUUUAUUAGAGCAUUUCAAGAAGACAUAAUGUUCUGUCUUAGUGCUUGGAGAUGUACUAAAUGACCUACUGAGCAGUCCUUCCCAGCCCUGCAUUUCAGUGAUUCUGACUCAGAACAGUGAUCCAUUCUAAACUUAUUUUAAUCAGUGUAAAGUUCAAGUCAGUUGCCCAAUGAGAACUUCAGCUGAUACAAGGACUUUAACCUUCCAGCACUGCCACGUUUAUUACACAGUCCAUUCACUGAUACUAGAGGAGGCUGGACAUACUAUUAUUGGCAAGAGAACUGAUAUAAGUGACAGGUUAAAAACUGCACACCUUGACAACUUGGCACAAAGGGUCUAUGAAUGACUUUCAAAGGGGUGAGAAUCCCAGAGACUGGGAAAUAAGGAAAUACAUCUACAGUCCAGACAACCUAAUGUGCCUGUUAUCUUAGACACUGGAAUUUGAUCCAGCCCAUUGAGGAAUGACGUAUCAGCCCAUGAGGGCUGCAGGUUUCUGAAGGAAGGCAUCAAAUGAGGGAAAUUUCGGAUUAUUUCCAUGGAUAACAUAGUGACUUUUGGGUUGGUUUUGGGUGUACAGCAUCUGGCCACGGGUCUAUGGGUAAAAGGAAGAGAAACAGCUGGAUAUAAGAAGAAACAACUGGCCACGAAGAUCGGAUUUCUGGCGCUUGAGUUCUAAUUGUUAGCGACGUUUUUUACCAACGAUAAUCGGACCGAUAACAGAACCGAUAACCGGACCGAUAACAGAACCGCCCCGCCCCGCCAGCGCCGCGCAGGGGUCGGAGACUCACGUGACGGUGCCAACAUGGCGGCGCCGUGUCAGCGGAGCAGUGUCGGCUGCUGAAGGAGGCGCGGCUGUUCCGGGUGAUGGGUUU
rnacentral:lncRNA from 1 species